AUUGAACGCUGGCGGCAGGCCUAACACAUGCAAGUCGAACGAGUGGCGGACGGGUGAGUAAUGUCUUGGAAACUGCCUGAUGUAGGGGUCUAACUACUGGAAACGGUAGCUAAUACCGCAUACCAUCAGAUGUGUCCAGAUGGGAUUAGCUAGUUGGUGGGGUAACGGCUCACCAAGGCGACGAUCCCUAGCUGGGCUGAGUGGAUGACCAGCCACACUGGAACGGAGACACGGUCCAGGCUCCGACGGGAGGCAGCAGUGGGGAAUAUUGAACAAUGGGCGCAAGCCUGAUGCAGACAUGCCGCGUGUAUGAAGAAGGCCUUCGGGUGGUAAAGUACUUUCAGCGGGGAGGCGUUACCCGCAGAAGAAGCACCGGCUAACUACGUGCCAGCAGCCGCGGUAAUUC
rnacentral:rRNA from 1 species